rnacentral:tRNA from 11 species
GCGGCUAUAGUUCAGUGGCAGAACGCCGCUCUGUGGCAGCGGAUGUCGUGGGUUCGAACCCCACUAGCCGCCCCA